GGCACGGUGGUGCAGUUGGUAGCACUGUCACCUCACAAGAUUCUGGGUUCAAAUCCUGUGUCA
rnacentral:tRNA from 1 species